rnacentral:tRNA from 1 species
UAGCUCAGGGGUAGAGCAGGGGUUUUGUAAACCUCUUGUCGGGGGUUCAAUUCCCUCCG